GCACACACAUUCCAGCCAAUCAGCAGCAGACCCUCCCUCCCAGACCCUCCCACCUCCUUGGCAGCAUCCAUUUUACAUUCAUUGUGAAGCUGCAUUCUUAGUGAGCUGUCCAGGAGGUGGGAGGGUCUGGGAGGGAGGGUCUGCUGCUGAUUGGCUGGAAUGUGUCUG